GAUGAACGCUGGCGGCGUGCCUAAUACAUGCAAGUCGAGCGAACGGACGAGAAGCUUGCUUCUCUGAUGUUAGCGGCGGACGGGUGAGUAACACGUGGAUAACCUACCUAUAAGACUGGGAUAACUUCGGGAAACCGGAGCUAAUACCGGAUAAUAUUUUGAACCGCAUGGUUCAAAAGUGAAAGACGGUCUUGCUGUCACUUAUAGAUGGAUCCGCGCUGCAUUAGCUAGUUGGUAAGGUAACGGCUUACAAAGGCAACGAUGCAUAGCCGACCUGAGAGGGUGAACGGCCACGCUGGAACUGAGACACGAGCCAGACUCCUACGGGAGGCAGCAGUAGGGAAUCUUCCGAAAUGGGCGAAAGCCUGACGGAGCAACGCCGCGUGAGUGAUGAAGGUCUUCGGAUCGUAAAACUCUGUUAGUAGGGAAGAACAUAUGUGUAAGUAACUGUGCACAUCUUGACGGUACCUAAUCAGAAAGCAACGGCUAACUACGUG
rnacentral:rRNA from 1 species